CUCUGCAUGAACACAAAAGGUCAGUGAUUUUUUCCCUUUUAACUUUCUUUGGCUUUGUUUAUUUUUCAUACUAUUUUUUUUACCUCAAAUGAGUAAUCAAAUCGAGGAUCAAAAUCAUCUUGUGCUGUUAGAAGAUGCGUAAGGGAACCAACAGGAGCCUUCAUGAUCAACAAGAGAAAUAUGUAUAGAAGUCAACCUCUUAUCCACACAGGCCAUGCUCUUCAGCAAUACCUGCAAGUGCAUUUUUUCAAUCAUUUACUGAGGAAUGGAUCUGGAAGCCAGAAGCAACAAAAAACAAGUGGAUCUUAAGGGAGAACAUUUUUUACCUCCACCCCUGCAGCGUGAGGGUUCAUGUUGUUGUCUUGUGCCCAGAUACGCUCCAUCCUUUGCCUUCUUUUGCUUUUAGGGAAGGGAUCCUCGUCCUCCAUGUCCCACACGUGAGUUUUGGAAGAAAGAGUUUGGGGAUGGGAGGAGGGGCGGUGACGAACAGA